rnacentral:rRNA from 1 species
CCUACGUGAGACAGCAGUAGGGAAUAUUGCUCAAUGGGGGAAACCCUGAAGCAGCAACGCCGCGUGGAGGAUGAAGGUUUUAGGAUUGUAAACUCCUUUUGUGAGAGAAGAUAAUGACGGUAUCUCACGAAUAAGCACCGGCUAACUCCGUGCCAGCAGCCGCGGUAAUACGGAGGGUGCAAGCGUUACUCGGAAUCACUGGGCGUAAAGAGCGCGUAGGCGGGAUAGCAAGUCAGAUGUGAAAUCCUAUGGCUUAACCAUAGAACUGCAUUUGAAACUGUUAUUCUAGAGUAUGGGAGAGGUAGGUGGAAUUCUUGGUGUAGGGGUAAAAUCCGUCGAGAUCAAGAGGAAUACUCAUUGCGAAGGCGACCUGCUAGAACAUAACUGACGCUGAUGCGCGAAAGCGUGGGGAGCAAACAGGAUUAGAUACCCGAGUAGUC